rnacentral:lncRNA from 1 species
GAUUGGCUACACUGCAAUCUCGGGUUAUUGCUUAGUCAAUUGCAUUACACAAUAAAAUUUAUCAUUCAUGAUGACAGGAGGUCACACAAUAAAGUGCACAGGUAAAUUAAAUAAAAACUUGAUAAAAAUCAUGUUUUCAUGAUCCUAGCUAAAAAAAUGUAAUUAUAAGUAUUGAAUGCUGCUUUUUGUAACUUUAUUGGGUUGUAAAAGCGUUGACCAUGCCCACAUUUAUAGAAUGAAGCGCUUC